rnacentral:rRNA from 1 species
GGGUCAGUAGGUUGGUCGUGCCACCGGUACGUACUGGUCUCACUGAUUUCUCCUUCCUGAAGAACCGUAAUGCCAUUAAUUUGGUGUUGCGGGGAAACAGGACUGUUACUUUGAAAAAAUUAGAGUGUUUAAAGCAAGCUAACGCUUGAAUACAUUAGCAUGGAAUAAUGAAAUAGGACGAUCGAUCCUAUUUUGUUGGUUUCUAGUAUUGACGUA